AAAAAUAAACUCAAUUUCUCAAGGAUUUUAUUUUAACAUUUAUACUUGAAUAUGAUAGGCUUUUAAUUCGAUUUUAAAAAGAGAAAAUUUGGUCAUCUGAGGAAUACUGGAUAACAUUCUCUUCCAUCUGAUAUUCUACUUAAUAAAUAAAAAAUGUUACAUAUUACAUGUGAGGUUCUACAAAUGAGAAUUUUAUAUUUGCAGUAAACACUUAUGAUUUAUUAAUGUUCCUUAUGUUCAUCAUGAACUAAUAACAAACCAAUUGGGCAAUAAAUAUUUUGUACUAGUAUGACAUUCCAUGGUAAAUCUGUGAUAAUAAAACCAUUGCCAGGCUUA
rnacentral:lncRNA from 1 species